GAUGAACGCUGGCGGCGUGCCUAAUACAUGCAAGUCGAGCGAACAGACGAGGAGCUUGCUCCUCUGACGUUAGCGGCGGACGGGUGAGUAACACGUGGAUAACCUACCUAUAAGACUGGGAUAACUUCGGGAAACCGGAGCUAAUACCGGAUAAUAUAUUGAACCGCAUGGUUCACUAGUGAAAGACGGUUUUGCUGUCACUUAUAGAUGGAUCCGCGCCGCAUUAGCUAGUUGGUAAGGUAACGGCUUACCAAGGCGACGAUGCGUAGCCGACCUGAGAGGGUGAUCGGCCACACUGGAACUGAGACACGGUCCAGACUCCUACGGGAGGCAGCAGUAGGGAAUCUUCCGCAAUGGGCGAAAGCCUGACGGAGCAACGCCGCGUGAGUGAUGAAGGUCUUCGGAUCGUAAAACUCUGUUAUUAGGGAAGAACAAAUGUGUAAGUAACUAUGCACGUCUUGACGGUACCUAAUCAGAAAGCCACGGCUAACUACGUG
rnacentral:rRNA from 1 species